GACGAACGCUGGCGGCGUGCUUAACACAUGCAAGUCGAGCGAUGAAGCUCCUUCGGGAGUGGAUUAGCGGCGGACGGGUGAGUAACACGUGGGUAACCUGCCUCAUAGAGGGGAAUAGCCUUUCGAAAGGAAGAUUAAUACCGCAUAAGAUUGUAGCUUUGCAUGAAGCAGCAGUUAAAGGAGUAAUCCGCUAUGAGAUGGACCCGCGUCGCAUUAGCUAGUUGGUGAGGUAACGGCUCACCAAGGCGACGAUGCGUAGCCGACCUGAGAGGGUGAUCGGCCACAUUGGGACUGAGACACGGCCCAGACUCCUACGGGAGGCAGCAGUGGGGAAUAUUGCACAAUGGGGGAAACCCUGAUGCAGCAACGCCGCGUGAGUGAUGACGGUCUUCGGAUUGUAAAGCUCUGUCUUCAGGGACGAUAAUGACGGUACCUGAGGAGGAAGCCACGGCUAACUACGUGCCAGCCGCCGCUGUAAUAC
rnacentral:rRNA from 1 species